CAUCAUUGGUGCACUGUGCUGAUGAGUCCCAAAAAGGGCGAAACAGCUGUCUACAGUUGCCGUUGUUUGAGCUU
rnacentral:hammerhead_ribozyme from 1 species